rnacentral:rRNA from 1 species
CGCCUGUUUAUCAAAAACAUGUCUUUUUGUUUAUUUAUUUAAGGUCUGACCUGCCCAAUGAGGAAUUGAAUGGCCGCAGUAUUUUAACUGUGCUAAGGUAGCAUAAUCAUUUGUCUUUUAAUUGAGGGCUGGAAUGAAAGGUUGGACGAGAUAUUAACUUUCUUUAAUUUAAUUUUAAGAAUUUAAUUUUUUAGUUAAAAAGCUAAAAUUUAUUUGUUGGACGAGAAGACCCUAUAGAUCUUUAUAAUUUUAUGUUUUAAUAGUGUAGGGAAUAUUUUUUUAAAGCAAAAUAAUUAUUUUGUUGGGGUGACUGUAGAAUUUAAUUAACUUCUAUUUAUUGGAAUCAUUUAUUAAUGUUUUAUUGAUCCAUAUAUUUAUGAUUAAAAGAUUAAGUUACCUUAGGGAUAACAGCGUAAUUUUUUCGGAGAGUUCAUAUUGAUGAAGAAGUUUGCGACCUCGAUGUUGGAUUAAAAUAAGUUAUAGAUGCAGGAGUUUAUUUACUAGGUCUGUUCGACCUUUAAAUUUUUACAUGAUCUGAGUUCAAACCGGAG